rnacentral:misc_RNA from 1 species
GAGAGAGAGAGAGAGAGAAUAUGUGCACUUGUUAAUGGCCAGAUGAUCCUUGGAAGUGAAGCGGAUGGAUAUGGUUUGUGCAAUUAGUUGGUUUAGUCCAAAAAUUAGAAUAAUUAAAGUAGUUAAAUUUAGAAACAAAAAUGAAAAAUGAUCAAGUUAUCUAAUUAAUGAUAAUGUUAGUCUUGAAAUGUCACGAAAUCUAAUGACUGGCAACUGAUUUUACAUAGCUCCAUUCUCAGAGUUUAAAUGAUAAAAAGUCUUUUAAUUAGACAUAUAGUUUAAAUGGAUAAAAUGAUGUUAUUGGACAUAUACAAUUUGUCUUUUAAUUAUACAAUUGUAUAUCUCCAAGGAUUGAAGAGACACAAGAUUCUGCAUCUGACUUGGCAGACAUCUAAAAUUCUCAAAGCUAUAAAUUCUAAAAUUGAUAAGAGUUGGGAUACAUAAAAGUUGGCAUUUUUAAGAGUUGCUUGCUCAGGGUGGUGAUAAGGUUGACAGCAAAACAGUUAAGGAAAUCCCUUGCUAUGUUUCUGUCCAAAGUAGUGAGGCCAUUGAAUACUUUGUUAAGAGUCUUAAAAUCAAAGAAUGUAUCCUGACUUGAUGGACCAGGCUGAAACUUUUUAUUUUGGUCUGAUUUGGUUUUGCUAU